GGAGAGAUGGCCAAGUGGUUCAAGGCGUAGAAUUGGAAAUGCUAUGUAGGAUUUUAUUUACCGAGGGUUCGAAUCCCUCUCUUUCCA